ACCAAAGCAGAGCAGUAGAAAGCUGCCAAUCAGGGGGAAGAGAAGCAAACAACAACCAUACAAUCUUCUUGGGAAUCCAACACAAGUGCUCCAUUCCCCUGCAGCACCUCCGCAGGAAAAAAGAAGUAUUACACCAGUCCUAUUGACAACAAUAGUCCAUUGUAGUAUGCAUGGAAGUCUUUGGUCCUCCAAAACGCUCCAGUCAUACAGGGGCCCCGAGGCACGAACACCAGAGAUCACAUCAUCUGAAGAGACGGAGACUUUUUUAAGCAGAAAUAUGUUAUGUUUAGUAAUCAAGAUCAGCAACGUCGGGAGAUGGCUAUCUAUAUGCUGCCCGCACGAUGAGACGACUUAGAAAAACGUCCUGAUAAACAAUGAAGAACGCACAAAGAAAUUCAAAAGCUU